UACAGAGGGGGCAAGCGUUAUUCGGAAUUAUUGGGCGUAAAGGGCGCGUAGGCGGCUUGGCAAGUGGAAUGGUGAAAUCCCUCGGCUUAACCGAGGAACUGCCCUCCAAACUGCUUUGCUUGAGGCCGGGAGAGGCGAGUGGAAUUCCCAGUGUAGCGGUGAAAUGCGUAGAUAUUGGGAGGAACACCAGUGGCGAAGGCGGCUCGCUGGACCAGUUUCUGACGCUGAGGCGCGAAAGCGUGGGGAGCAAACAGG
rnacentral:rRNA from 1 species